rnacentral:ncRNA from 1 species
GACGGGCUCGCCCGCUCUCCUGCGUCCCAAUGUGCCAAGAGGGAAAACAACCCUCAAGGCACUAAAGUAUAUCAAAGUUUAAAAUUUCUGGAGAUAAAUCCUUUGCAGACGACUUAAAUAAAGAACGGGGUAUUGUACGUUGUAGAGUAGCCUUGUUGCUACGAUCUUCUGAGGUUAAGCCUUUGUUCUACGAUUUGU